GACGACGAUGAUUAAAAUAUCCAACACAGACCUGUUCUGAAACAUCAUGUGGAUACUCUAACAUGCAUCACCAUAUGAGU
rnacentral:snoRNA from 1 species